GACGGUAUAGCUCAAGUGGUAGAGCGUGUGCUUAGCAUGCAUGAGGUCCUGGGUUCAAUCCCCAGUACCUCCU
rnacentral:tRNA from 1 species